GCAGUUUCAGUGAGCUAGAUAUCAAUAAGUCUCUUUACUAUCAGUGAGAUAAAUAAGGCUGUGCAAAGUUUUUGAAAACAAUGUGUUUCUUUUCACUUCAGAUGAAACACUCUGCUGAGAUGACAGCCACCACAAAGGUGUCCAUCACUGGUGUAAUCACGUAAAGAUGAGCGCAGAAUAUAUUCCAUAUCAUAUAUUAACACACCUCCAGCACAGCUACAGUUCCAUCUGCCAGACCAGCAAACACACGCCAGGUUCCACUAUCUUCAAAUGCGCAGAAAAAGAAAUUACCGGUCAGCUUCUCUGUAGCAGCAAAUAUUCCAAGAUAGUGUACCAAACAAGAUGGCGUUUGGGAUGGCACACAAGCUCAUUACACGGCAAGAAAACUAAACAAAGAAAAAACAAA